UCACCUCUGCAGGCUGCCGGCCCCAGGCUGGGCUGGGCGAGUGUCUCUUCGGAAGGCUCCCCCUCAAGCACGACCAGGAGU
rnacentral:pre_miRNA from 1 species